UACGUAGGGACCAAGCGUUGUUCGGAUUUACUGGGCGUAAAGGGCGCGUAGGCGGCGUGUUAAGUCAGCUGUGAAAUCUCCGAGCUUAACUCGGAACGGUCAGCUGAUACUGAUGUGCUAGAGUGCAGAAGGGGCAAUCGGAAUUCUUGGUGUAGCGGUGAAAUGCGUAGAUAUCAAGAGGAACACCUGAGGUGAAGACGGGUUGCUGGGCUGACACUGACGCUGAGGCGCGAAAGCCAGGGGAGCAAACGGG
rnacentral:rRNA from 1 species